rnacentral:rRNA from 1 species
UACGUAGGGGCCUAGCGUUGUCCGGAAUUAUUGGGCCUAAAGCAUCCGUAGCCGGUUCUACAAGUCUUCCGUUAAAUCCAACUGCUUAACAGGUGGGCUGCGGAAGAUACUAUAGAGCUAGGAGGCGGGAGAGGCAAGCGGUACUCGAUGGGUAGGGGUAAAAUCCGUUGAUCCAUUGAAGACCACCAGUGGCGAAGGCGGCUUGCCAGAACGCGCUCGACGGUGAGGGAUGAAAGCUGGGGGAGCAAACCGG